rnacentral:lncRNA from 1 species
UACAUGGCCGUGUCAAGGAGGUCAUCAAGUUCCAAUAUUCUAUUCUUGAUUACGUAUCACAAACUAGUGGAUAAGCUUAUAUUGUAAUCGCAUGCAUGUUAUUAGGAUUUGUAGCCAAGCUAUCCUGCUAAAAGCAAUAUGCUCAUCCCAAGCGUUAAAGUUGAAUCAUUCAGGUGGUGCAAGAGCAUAUGAUUAUGAUCAGAG